GUCUGGUAGUAAAAAAAAAAAAAAAAAAUACUAAUAAUAAAAAAAAAAAUAAAGGAAAGAAAAGAAAAGAAAAAAAAAAAAGAAGUAGGGUGUGUGUGUACCCUUCUGUGUUUGUGUGCAGCCCAGUUAGGGAGAGGGGCCUUUCUGUCACAGCAGCUGUUUUGUGACACCCCUGCAGCAUUUCCCCACGGCCCGUGGGGAGGAGCAGGACAGAGCAGAACAGUGGCAUCACUGAGCCCAGACCUUCUCAGGUGUUCACUGUGUGUGCGUGCGUGCGUGUGUGUAUUUUAGUUACGCUCCAAAUUGUGGUUUCUCUGUCUGAAGUUAAAAAUGAAAGGUGAAUACAAUAUAUUGUAUUUGGUAACAAUGAUAUGGACUGGUACAUCUAGACAGAUAAUGUGCAGUUGUAAUUAGACUCAAUAGACAGGCAGUCAUUUUAAAAUUCUUUGACACAUGCAUAAAAUAGUCAUAUAAUAAGAUAAGAUGACAAUUUUAUGUUAGGUUGAUAAAGUGUCCCGAUACAUGCAUUUAAAUGUCUGUAAGCCUUUAAAAAAAUCCAGACAGAUUAAUUCUAGUUUCCAGUAUUUGCAGUUAGUCAUUAAAUUAAUUUUUAAAUCCUACUAAACAAUGGCUAUGAAUAUGUUUUUUUUUUUCCCCCCUUCUAGAUUUUUUACCUGAAUUGCAGAGAAUGGAUACACAGGCUUGGUAGCUUUCUCUAAUUUUUCAACAUUGGUAAACAAUUACAUUAGACAUGGGCAUAAAAAUUCAGUUUCCUGUUUGUAGCUAGAAUAAAGGUCUGCAUUUUUGGAAGUAAAAAAAAAAAAAGUUAUAGAGUAUAAUCUGCUUAUGACCACUUGCCUGAACAACUGUCAUACUCUAGAUUUAGGAAUCUUUAUUAGAAAGAUUACAUAGUGUCCUUGACCAAAUAUUGAAUAUUUUAUAAGCCCCAUUUAAAAAAGAAGACAUUUCAAGCACAUACACUUGAUUUGAUCAGCACUUAGAUUCUUGGGUUUAAUUACUUUCAAUUCUGUAAAUUAUUUUAGUGUUUCAACAGGAGUGGCCCCAGUGAUGUAUCGAGGGGAGUAAAAAGGCAUUUCUCUAAAGGUCACGUUACCUGGACUUUUCAACCAUCUUCAUACCUUGUUUUCUCAGAUGUGCAAAGGUGUGGCUCUUGAAGAAUAAUUUCAAUUUGUUUGGGCUUAAUGAUAAAUUAUUAAUUCAUACUGUCAGGACACAUGUUAUUAAUUAUGACGGUGUUUUCUUCAUCCAGAACAGCUGUUGGGGAAACAGUGUAAGUUCAGAUUGUCUUCAGGGGGAGGGCGCCAAAGCAAGGAACUUACCAAGUCCUUGUCAUCAUAUCUUGGUCCCCUUGCUUUGGGAAUAAAGCAUUGCGGGGGAUGAGGGGGGGUGGGGAGGGAGUGAAAGGGAGAGAGAAACCAUUCAUUCUAAACCAAGAUGUGCACCAGCAAAUGCUAACUGAUGUACGUUUUCUGAAAAGCAAGCCUAACUCUCCAAGGUCUGUGAGUUCAGACCUGAGCUCAGAAUCCCCCAGCUGGGAUUCUGAGGUGGGACCUGCUCCCUUCCCAAGUGCAGGUUUGAAUGGACUGCCCUCUUCAUCGCACGAGUGGGACUUGUUUUCUUCUUAUUCUUGGGUAGACCAGAAGGUCGUGGUCACAAGUGCAUGGUGGCGGGAAGCAAAAUACUCUGAGCGUUUGUUGUUCCCCAAACUGGAACCCAUCCUUAAUGGAGGGCAACGCGCCAUUUGGUAAUAUACGUGAAAUGACUUCAAUUCAUUUACUUUUGAUUUUUACCAUUCUCAUCAUUAAAUCUAGUCCUAUGUAUUCAGUUUCUUCUGAGUUCUUUGAGAAAUGCAUGUUGCAUAAAAUAGGCAAUUUUUAAUGAACAAUUUAAUGUAAAUGGGUUUUGAAUUUAAAUUAAUAUUAAUGAAGCCUUGAGUGAAUUUAUUUUGCAUACGUAAAGACUUGUAAGUCUUUCACCCAUGUGCUUUCUCCUUUAUGUAGUAACAUUGGUUGGUGGGAUUAACUAGAGCCUUUUAAAGAUUUACACUUAAAAAAAUUAAAUUGAUUUUAUAUGUCCAAUAGCACCAACAUAUUAUUAGGCAGAGGUGUUACUUAAUUUAAAGAAAAUAUACCUCAUUUCCUAUUAAACCUCUCAGUUUCCAUUACCCUGUUCUUCCUGCAAGCUGCCGUUGCUUUGGCGUUGCUGCUGGGGAAAAUACAUACCAACAAUAGUUACUACAAUCAAGAUGUUUUCUUUCUUUGGCUUACCUCUAAUGCAUUAUGUAUCCUGGAAUGAUGGGAAGUUCUGUAAUUAAUUCUGUUAGAUGUAAUUGCUAUAAUCACUUUGAUGUUACACAUAAUAAAGGUAAUAUGGUAAGCACAUAAAAAAUAUAAACACCUUAUUGUAACACUACUACUAAAAUUCCUUCUCAUCGAGUCUGGCUUAUAGACCAGUGUUCUUAACUGGUUUUGGCCAUAGGUGACAAUUUAUCCGAGCCGUGUUCAUUGAUAUUCCAAAGGAGAGUCAUUUAUUGGAAAGGAUGGGCCUUGUCUUGGAGAGAUCUCCAAGCUGGUUGCCUAGGAAUCUUAAUGCCCUUUUCCUCAAAGAUGUGGCUAAUUAGAAAAGGUGACCAUUAUCUUCUGUAGAGGAGAGGGGUAAAGGCUUCCCGGAAGUGGCCAUGGAAUGAGGUAAGAGGGUGGCCUAGGAGGGACAGAAGCACUCUGAGACGAGAGAUGGCAAAGGUUUUAGGUCCAAAGAGUGCUGUUCUGAAGGUUUUCUCAUGGUGUGGGAUUAUGGGAAGUGCAUGUGUGUGUGUGUGUGUGUGUGUGUGUGUGUGUGUGGCAGGGGGAGCGCACAGGCACAUUCAAGCACAUGCUCGUGGGUAACCAGAGAAGGCCACCUUUCUGUGAGAGACAUUGGUACAGAAUAUAUGGUUUAUUAUCAUUACAGUUAGUAUUCUACACCUUUCCCAGGGGAUCCUGGGGGGCCGUGCCUAACUGUCGCACCACAUGCCAGGGGCGAUGUUGCCUGUUGGGCAGAACCUGAGUGGUAUCUGUGACCCCUCCCCAGGCCUCGGUGCGCCUACCCUAGAUGCAGGCUACCAGAGAACAGAAGAGAACUUUGCCUGAGACCCCAAGCACAUCCUCCUUGUGGGAUGUUUCCAAACAUGUGUAAAUUACUCUUUGCCAGUGCAGCUUGCAGGAGAUGGAGAACGUGGUGGUUAAAGAAGCUUGUUGUUUGAUUUUUUUUUUUUUUUCCCUCUGUGGACAUCCUGGAGUCAGACUCGCUCGGGCAUCCAUGUGACUCCCGUCAUCAGCUUGCACCCUGUCCCGUGUGCUACAGAGGUCACGAAGCCCCGUGACCUGGUGUCGGCGUGAGAGUUUGGAUGUGAAUUCCCCACAUUUAUAUUUUAUUUUUCAGUGUGUUAUAGGCGACGAAGCGUACGAGUCAGUCAUACACAGAAAUCAAAUAAGAGAAAGUGUACGUGUGAGCAGAGAGGAUGCCAAAAUCUCUUUGGAGGAGGAACGGGGUGUUUUCAGAUGGCGGUGAGAUGGACAGUGACAGCCGUGCGUCCCUAGACUGUGCCCUGGGCCCGCAGAGCUGGGUCUGGCCGUGGCUGUGGUCAGCUGGGUGCAGACCGGGCCGGCAGAGAGCAAGGUGCUGCCACAGACGGGCUGGCAGGGCCUGCCUCCUGGGCGCUGGGCCUAAGGCACCCUGCCUGCCAGGUGAGAGGGUCCUGGGUCCCUGGCGCUGGCCUGGGCUGCAGUCAGGCAGUCACCAGCCCUCCUGCGGUGAGCCUUGGCUGGUUUUGAUGGCGAGGAUGAUAAAAGGUCUGAGAACUCCAUAGGCCCCUGUAAUCAGGGCCAGCACUGACAUCCUUCUCAAGUUUGACAGCUUCUUCCUUUUCUCUUCUCACAGCCAAGCCUUUCUCAACCGAAUUUCCCCGCCCUCCCCCUCUCUCCUCCCUCCCUGCCGCCUCUCACCCCUUCCCUCCCUCUUCUUUCUGUGUGCUUCUCUCCUGUUUCAUGUUCUUGAUCAGUCUCAGAUGCCUGGAAUUAUUUUUUUUCGGGCAGGAGGGGGAGUGUUGCUUUAGGUUUGUGGGUUGGGCAGGUGUGAGAGGAAGUCUGUGUUUUUUUUUUUUUUGUACUGUAGGCCUGUUGCUAAUUAAUGUUCCUCCAUAAGAUUCUGUCGGAGUUGAGUAAUGUUUUUGAUCUUUAUGCCUGAUAACUGCAUACUUAAUGAGAUUUCAAAGCUGUGAGUGCAGCUCCCUACAAUUAUUGACAGAUGCCUUUUCUUUGCCAUUGGGUUCAGCUUCAUAAAUCCUCUUGCCGUAAUGAGGUUCAGCAGUGCCACCCUGGCAGUGAGCUAAUGAAAGGGGGGAGGGUGAAGCGGCUCAUGGCUGUCUGACACAUUUUUUUCCUUUAAAAUUUACUAUGCAGAUGUCAAGCUGCGGGACGAUUACUUCAAACAUGCUAAUUUUUAUCUUGCUUUUGUGUCAGCCCUUUGCCAUUAAAAAAUAAAUAAAUAAAAGGACUAACCUUACUCUCCACUUAAUUUCUUUCUUUUUUUUUUUUUUCCCCGAGUCACAUUUUUAAUAACCCGUGGUGUGUGACUGCUGGGGACUUUGACACGCGCGUGGCCUUUUGCAGGUAUCCAGUGGCAGAAGCUUUUUUUUUUUUUUUUUUUCCUUGCCAUUGGAAGGGCAGGGCGAGGAUAAAGUGCGAUUUCCCCAGGCCUCCCAUCAGCCUGCCCUAAGUAUGCACUUGAAACGUCGGAGAAUUCAUUUCAGAGUUCUGGAACUAAAUCCUGGUGGAGAAGAGCUGCACCAUGCCAAACAGUCGAUUUCCUUUUCAGCGGAGUCAUACAUCACUGACCCACCCUUCCCUCCUGACAGAAUGACAUAUGUCAUUUAUCAUAUGGGCCCCAGCCAGACAACGGGGAGGGGAGGGAAGCCCAGUCCAUGUGAUGCUGUCUCCUCCUCCCAGUACUGUACCGUUGGCUUGCAGAGAGAGGCUGCUGAUUUGGCGAGAGGGACCGGGAGGAGGGUGGAGAGGCAGGGGCGAGGAGAGGCGAGAGCCUGCUCCGUGUGGAUGGCUGGCUGGGUGUGUGGCGGGCCCAAGAUUGGCAGAGGCAGGGAAGAGGUUAUGUUCUUUCGUAUUAUCUGCUAAACCACACUGUUCGGCCUUUGACGCUCUUCUGACUCUCCCCCCACCCCCAUUCCUUUUCUCCUUUUCCUUCUUUUUUUUUUUUUUUUUUCCCUUUAGUAGUCAAGGAAAACAGCAACAGCAACAACAACAACAAACCAGGGCUGACAGGUAUCAUUCAAGCCACCCUGGCUUGUGAGGGGUGGUAUAAAUGAAUCUCAGGGCUCCUGGCUUCACAUGAUUCAAACGUGCGUUAUUGAAGAUGGAUGUUCCUUAAGAAAAGAUUGAUGUUAGAUGCUGGGCUUAGGGCGCCAUUUAUCAUUUUGAAUAUUAUUUAGACUUGCCGUGUAAACCUGUAACUUGAGAGUUGGACGAGCUGGAGCAGGGUAGGGGCCUGUGUGUGUGUGUGUGUGUGUGUGUGCGCGUGUGUAUUUCCAUCGAUUGGCCUUGGGUUCUCAUUGCUGCUGACCAGACACGAGCCCUCCCAUUUACAAUAUAGAAGACACGCCGCCCCCCUAAAAAAGUGAGGGGGAGGUUUUAAUUUUGAAUAAUUUCCAAGGACGUUUUUCCAAGGGAAAAAUGAAGUAUCUGUGAUUUACGCUAAAGCUAACAGGCAACUUCUCUCUCUCUCCCUCUCCCUCUCUCCCUCUCCCUCUCUUCCCCGACAGAGGCAGUCACGUACGAAACAUUAAAAUAUAAACAGAGCUGCAGUUGCUGAAGCCAGGACCCUUGCCUGAUUUUUUCAACUCUGUGACAUGCUUUUUUUUUUUUUUAAAUCUGUAUCUGAAAAGCUUAGCCCAAUAUAACUAUUCAAAAAAUACUGGUUGGCUUGGUUAGCAGUGUCAGAAUGAAGAAACAGACUUCCAUGUCUCAGGAAUACUUCAGAUAAAAAAUGAUCUUCUGUGGCUCCCUGCCCCUGCUCCCAGCGGCCUCCUCCCCUUUUGUGUCUGUGCUCUGUCUCCCCUCACAGGCCCCAGCAGACCCCCACCAGGACUGAUGUGGACAGCUGUUUCCAGGCCCCGCCGGCUAAUCAUUCUGGUUCUUUUGCACCCUUGAGCUGUGCUCCCGGACACCCCCACCUACUGGAAGUAGUUAGGGACGCAGGCUGGCUUACCAACGGAGCCCCCAGCCGCUGGGAGAAAUCAGCCGAGCGCCAGCCUUUCUGCCUCUUCUGCUGCAGAGGCCCUUGCUGCCAGCUUUCCCCGGGCGCAAAAAAAAAGAAAACAAAACUGCUGGCCUUCCUGCUCAGUCUCUUCACUAGCAGAGCCCCGAUAGCGCACAUUUAAUUGGCAGGCGUUCUAUUAAAUAUGUGACUUUAUUUGGGUCUGCUAAUUAAAUGUAGGGCUCCUUGUAUGACUUAGAGUGUGGACAUUAAUUUAAAAAAAUUGAUGGGACCGAAAGUUUUAGGCUGCAGUAGUUUUUUAUCUAAAGGAAUGAGAGCCUAGAAUUGGCGGAAGGGCUGGAUGUUCCUAUCUUGCUGCUUCUGGGACAAACUUUUCCCUGACAUGUAAAAAGCCUGCAUCUGCCUGAACAGAAAGAAAUGGAGAUGUGGCUUUUUCACUCACCAAGUCCAGGCAACUUUGUGUGUGUGUGUGUGUGUGUGUGUGUGCGCGCGCGCGUGCGUGCGCACGUGCACACACCUCUCUAUUUUAAAAUAACUUUAUUAGCAUCCUGACACCUUGCAUGCAAGGAUCACUUUAGGGUUCACUUGCAAUGUUGCCCAGCUAGUGCCAAAAAUGGGGUAGAAGCACCGUUACAUCCUUUGUCGGUACCUGGACUCACAUCUGACUAUAAAAAGAUGAUGGUGUUUCUUGCUGAGACUUCAUGGAAGAAAGGAAAACUUUGAUCCUCUGCCCUUGCACUUGGCCAGUGCUGGAGGAAAUUGGGAGUACAAGUGCCAAUUUGCAGGAACAAUUGUAAACACCUUCGAUACAAAUGGCAUCGGCCCAUUUUUACUGAUUAGAAAAACUUUGCUAUUAAUAGGUGCAAAGUCCAUUUCAGGUAUAAUUGGUAAGGAACUGAGUGCACUCAUGGGAAGAAACCUUGUUUUGUUUUUCGUUCGCUUUUCUUCUUAUCCCCUUUUCUCAGUUUUAUGGCUGGAGACAUGAUUUAUUGCAGCCAUCCAUCUUGGGGGCUCAUCCAUCACACCCGGGUUGCUAGGCGAUUGUGGCAGCAGCUGUUUGCUCUGAAUCAGACAGAAAAGUUGUCAAUCAUCAAAGGCAGGUGAAUAGCAUUAGAAACACGCUAUUGUCAGACGGAAUAAUUAAUCAAAGAGAGAAAAGAUAAUUAAAAAGAUAUGACCCUUGCAAGUACUUGCUCUGGGUUGCCUGGAAGAAAAAAAAAAAAAAAAGAAAGAAAGAAAGA
rnacentral:lncRNA from 1 species